GAUGAACGCUAGCGGCAGGCCUAAUACAUGCAAGUCGAACGGUGUCUUCGGACAUAGUGGCGCACGGGUGCGUAACACGUAUGCAACCUACCUUACAUUGGGGGAUAGCCUUUCGAAAGGGAGAUUAAUACCGCAUAAGACAGUAGCUGGGCAUCCAGCAGCUGUUAAAGAUUUAUCGAUGUAAGCUGGGCAUGCGUCCAAUUAGCUAGUUGGUGAGGUAACGGCUCACCAAGGCCAUGAUUGGUAGGGGAGCUGAGAGGUCAAUCCCCCACACUGGCACUGAGAUACGGGCCAGACUCCUACGGGAGGCAGCAGUAGGGAAUAUUGGGCAAUGGACGCAAGUCUGACCCAGCCAUGCCGCGUGCAGGAUGAAGGCGUUAUGCGUUGUAAACUGCUUUCAUACAGGAAGAAACGACUCUUGCGAGAGGCAUUGACGGUACUGUAUGAAUAAGCACCGGCUAACUCCGUGCCAGCAGCCGCAGUAACAC
rnacentral:rRNA from 1 species